rnacentral:rRNA from 1 species
GAUCAUGGCUCAGGACGAACGCUGGCGGCGUGCCUAACACAUGCAAGUCGAACGGAGAUGUUAUUCGGUAGAUAUCUUAGUGGCGCACGGGUGAGUAACGCGUGAAUAACCUGACCCGAAGAGGGGGAUAACACCUGGAAACAAGUGCUAAUACCGCAUAAGACCACAGACCGGCAUCGGUCAGAGGUCAAAGGAGAAAUCCGCUUGGGAGGGUUCGCGUCCCAUUAGGUAGUUGGUGAGGUAACGGCCCACCAAGCCGACGAUGGGUAGCCGAGCCGAGAGGCUGAUCGGCCACACUGGAACUGAGACACGGUCCAGACUCCUACGGGAGGCAGCAGUGGGGAAUAUUGGGCAAUGGGCGCAAGCCUGACCCAGCAACGCCGCGUGAGGGAAGAAGGUUUUCGGAUUGUAAACCUCUGUCGCAGGGGACGAAGGAAGUGACGGUACCCUGUAAGAAAGCCCCGGCUAACUACGUG